rnacentral:lncRNA from 1 species
AAUGCUUUGAAGGCCAAGGAGGCAGUGCUGAAAUGUGUCCACAGUCACACGCAGACACAAAAGAAAAUGCACACCUAACGCACAUUCCUGUGGUCCAAGACAGCAUGAUUCCAGAGGCAGCCCAAAUGCUCUUGGAAGAGCACCCCCAGGAGCAACAAGCUUGACCACCAUGCCAUCCUCAGACAGACCACUGAGUCUGUCAGGAAGAAGACAGAAGAUGAUAACACACUUGCACACUUGCGUUCAUUGUGGAUGGUCAAGCCAAUAAGCACCAGAUCAAACCAGCUGUGAAGAAGCUGUAUGACAUGGACGUGGCCAAGGUCAACACCCUGAUCAGGUGUGACAGAGAGAAGAAGGCAUAUGUUGAACUGCCUCCUGAUUACGAUGCUUUAGAUGUUGCCGGCAAAAUUGGGAUUAUC